GACGAACGCUGGCGGCGUGCUUAACACAUGCAAGUCGAACGGAAAGGCCCUGCUUUUGUGGGGUGCUCGAGUGGCGAACGGGUGAGUAACACGUGAGUAACCUGCCCUUGACUUUGGGAUAACUUCAGGAAACUGGGGCUAAUACCGGAUAGGAGCUCCUGCUGCAUGGUGGGGGUUGGAAAGUUUCGGCGGUUGGGGAUGGACUCGCGGCUUAUCAGCUUGUUGGUGGGGUAGUGGCUUACCAAGGCUUUGACGGGUAGCCGGCCUGAGAGGGUGACCGGCCACUUGGGGACUGAGAUACGGCCCAGACUCCUACGGGAGGCAGCGGGGGGGAAUAUGGCACAUGGGCGGAAGCCUGAUGCAGCAACGCCGCGUGCGGGAUGACGGCCUUCGGGUUGUAAACCGCUUUCGCCUGUGACGAAGCGUGAGUGACGGUAAUGGGUAAAGAAGCACCGGCUAACUACGUG
rnacentral:rRNA from 1 species